CCUACGGGAGACAGCAGUGAGGAAUAUUGGUCAAUGGACGCAAGUCUGAACCAGCCAUGCCGCGUGCAGGAAGACGGCUCUAUGAGUUGUAAACUGCUUUUGUACGAGGGUAAACGCAGAUACGCGUAUCUGUCUGAAAGUAUCGUACGAAUAAGGAUCGGCUAACUACGUGCCAGCAGCCGAGGUAAUACGGAGGAUUCAAGCGUUAUCCGGAUUUAUUGGGUUGAAAGGGUGCGUAGGCGGUCGGAUAAGUUAGAGGUUAAAUCCCGAGGCUCAACUUCGGAAUUGCCUUGGAUACUGUUCGGCUAGAGAGUAGUUGCGGUAGGCGGAAUGUAUGGUGUAGCGGUGAAAUGCUUAGAGAUCAUACAGAACACCGAUUGCGAAGGCAGCUUACCAAGCUACUUCUGACGUUGAGGCACGAAAGCGUGGGGAGCAAACAGGAUUAGAUACCCCAGUAGUC
rnacentral:rRNA from 1 species